AAUUCGAAGCAACGCGAAGAACCUUACCUGGGUUUGACAUACACCGGAAAACCGUAGAGACUACGGUCCCCCUUGUGGUCGGUGUACAGGUGGUGCAUGGCUGUCGUCAGCUCGUGUCGUGAGAUGUUGGGUUAAGUCCCGCAACGAGCGCAACCCUUGUCUUAUGUUGCCAGCACGUGAUGGUGGGGACUCGUAAGAGACUGCCGGGGUCAACUCGGAGGAAGGUGGGGACGACGUCAAGUCAUCAUGCCCCUUAUGUCCAGGGCUUCACACAUGCUACAAUGGCCAGUACAGAGGGCUGCGAGACCGUGAGGUGGAGCGAAUCCCUUAAAGCUGGUCUCAGUUCGGAUCGGGGUCUGCAACUCGACCCCGUGAAGUCGGAGUCGCUAGUAAUCGCAGAUCAGCAACGCUGCGGUGAAUACGUUCCCGGGCCUU
rnacentral:rRNA from 1 species